rnacentral:rRNA from 1 species
AUUGAACGCUGGCGGCAUGCCUUACACAUGCCAGUCGAACGGUAACAGGUCUUCGGAUGCUGACGAGUGGCGGACGGGUGAGUAAUACAUCGGAACGUGCCCGAUCGCGGGGGAUAACGGGGCGAAAGCUGUGCUAAUACCUCAUACGAUCUACGGUUGAAAGCGGGGUAGCUUCGGACCUCGCGCGGGCGUAGCUGCCGAUGGCAGAUUAGGUAGUUGGUGAGAUAAAAGCUUACCAAGCCGACGAUCUGUAGCUGGUCUGAGAGGAUGAUCAGCCACACUGGAACUGAGACACGGCCCAGACUCCUACGGGAGGCAGCAGUGGGGAAUUUUGGACAAUGGGCGAAAGCCUGAUCCAGCCACGCCGCGUGAAGGAUGAAGGCCUUCGGGUUGUAAACUGCUUUUGUACGGAACGAAAAGCUGCUUACUAAUAAAGAGGGGUCAUGACGGUACCGUAAGAAAAAGCACCGGCUAACUACGUG